UUUGGUCGUAGACCCGAAACCAGGUGAUCUACCCUUGGUCAGGUUGAAGUUCAGGUAACACUGAAUGGAGGACCGAACCGACUUACGUUGAAAAGUGAGCGGAUGAACUGAGGGUAGCGGAGAAAUUCCAAUCGAACCUGGAGAUAGCUGGUUCUCUCCGAAAUAGCUUUAGGGCUAGCCUCAAGUGAUGAUUAUUGGAGGUAGAGCACUGUUUGGACGAGGGGCCCCUCUCGGGUUACCGAAUUCAGACAAACUCCGAAUGCCAAUUAAUUUAACUUGGGAGUCAGAACAUGGGUGAUAAGGUCCGUGUUCGAAAGGGAAACAGCCCAGACCACCAGCUAAGGUCCCAAAAUAUAUGUUAAGUGGAAAAGGAUGUGGCGUUGCCCAGACAACUAGGAUGUUGGCUUAGAAGCAGCCAUCAUUUAAAGAGUGCGUAAUAGCUCACUAGUCGAGUGACACUGCGCCGAAAAUGUACCGGGGCUAAACAUAUUACCGAAGCUGUGGAUUGUCCUUUGGACAAUGGUAGGAGAGCGUUCUAAGGGCGUUGAAGCAUGAUCGUAAGGACAUGUGGAGCGCUUAGAAGUGAGAAUGCCGGUGUGAGUAGCGAAAGACGGGUGAGAAUCCCGUCCACCGAUUGACUAAGGUUUCCAGAGGAAGGCUCGUCCGCUCUGGGUUAGUCGGGUCCUAAGCUGAGGCCGACAGGCGUAGGCGAUGGAUAACAGGUUGAUAUUCCUGUACCACCUAUAAUCGUUUUAAUCGAUGGGGGGACGCAGUAGGAUAGGCGAAGCGUGCGAUUGGAUUGCACGUCUAAGCAGUAAGGCUGAGUAUUAGGCAAAUCCGGUACUCAUUAAGGCUGAGCUGUGAUGGGGAGAAGACAUUGUGUCUUCGAGUCGUUGAUUUCACACUGCCGAGAAAAGCCUCUAGAUAGAAAAUAGGUGCCCGUACCGCAAACCGACACAGGUAGUCAAGAUGAGAAUUCUAAGGUGAGCGAGCGAACUCUCGUUAAGGAACUCGGCAAAAUGACCCCGUAACUUCGGGAGAAGGGGUGCUCUUUAGGGUUAACGCCCAGAAGAGCCGCAGUGAAUAGGCCCAAGCGACUGUUUAUCAAAAACACAGGUCUCUGCUAAACCGUAAGGUGAUGUAUAGGGGCUGACGCCUGCCCGGUGCUGGAAGGUUAAGAGGAGUGGUUAGCUUCUGCGAAGCUACGAAUCGAAGCCCCAGUAAACGGCGGCCGUAACUAUAACGGUCCUAAGGUAGCGAAAUUCCUUGUCGGGUAAGUUCCGACCCGCACGAAAGGCGUAACGAUUUGGGCACUGUCUCAACGAGAGACUCGGUGAAAUCAUAGUACCUGUGAAGAUGCAGGUUACCCGCGACAGGACGGAAAGACCCCGUGGAGCUUUACUGUAGCCUGAUAUUGAAAUUCGGCACAGCUUGUACAGGAUAGGUAGGAGCCUUUGAAACGUGAGCGCUAGCUUACGUGGAGGCGCUGGUGGGAUACUACCCUAGCUGUGUUGGCUUUCUAACCCGCACCACUUAUCGUGGUGGGAGACAGUGUCAGGCGGGCAGUUUGACUGGGGCGGUCGCCUCCUAAAAGGUAACGGAGGCGCUCAAAGGUUCCCUCAGAAUGGUUGGAAAUCAUUCAUAGAGUGUAAAGGCAUAAGGGAGCUUGACUGCGAGACCUACAAGUCGAGCAGGGUCGAAAGACGGACUUAGUGAUCCGGUGGUUCCGCAUGGAAGGGCCAUCGCUCAACGGAUAAAAGCUACCCCGGGGAUAACAGGCUUAUCUCCCCCAAGAGUUCACAUCGACGGGGAGGUUUGGCACCUCGAUGUCGGCUCAUCGCAUCCUGGGGCUGUAGUCGGUCCCAAGGGUUGGGCUGUUCGCCCAUUAAAGCGGUACGCGAGCUGGGUUCAGAACGUCGUGAGACAGUUCGGUCCCUAUCCGUCGUGGGCGUAGGAAAUUUGAGAGGAGCUGUCCUUAGUACGAGAGGACCGGGAUGGACAUACCUCUGGUGUACCAGUUGUCGUGCCAACGGCAUAGCUGGGUAGCUAUGUGUGGACGGGAUAAGUGCUGAAAGCAUCUAAGCAUGAAGCCCCCCUCAAGAUGAGAUUUCCCAACUUCGGUUAUAAGAUCCCUCAAAGAUGAUGAGGUUAAUAGGUUCGAGGUGGAAGCAUGGUGACAUGUGGAGCUGACGAAUACUAA
rnacentral:rRNA from 1 species